rnacentral:misc_RNA from 1 species
CAGGCGGGAGGGGGCCGGUAAGGUUGUUGCUGUUCAAGUCAAGCCAUAUGAGGCUUUGACACUUGCCAAGCUCUGGUGGUAUUUGUCCAGUGAGUGAAUUGCUACCCAGUUGGAGUAUAGCAAGGUUACCCAGAUUUCCAAUACUAGGAGGGAUUUCCCCAGUAAGUUGGUUGCUGAAAAGUGAAAUCCAAAUCAUAUUUGUGCAACUGCCAAUGGACUGUGGAAUGCUUCCAGUGAUGAGAUUGUUGUUGAGAAUCAAUGUCUCAAGAUUGCUUCCAUUCAUGCAAAGACCUUCUGGAAUUUCACCUGUAAGGUUAUUU